CCAAAAUAAAACCCAAACCAUAGCUUGCCAUAUUCAAUCAAUCCAAAAAUGAAUCUUUAGCAGCAACUGAAUGCCCCUGAUUCAAGCCAUUGGCUUUAAUUAGAUUUACCAAAUUUUCAGUUCAACCCUCAAAAAAGAUCAAGCAAAAGAAGAGAAAUAAAUUCCAAGAAACAAUAUAAGCACUAUUAAUCCAAGCUGUUCCACUGAAAUUCAAUACACGAACUUGUCCUAAUUAAACUACCCGAUACUUAACCAGUUGAACAGACUAAAACAAGCAUGAUUCAAGCUCAUGCAGUCCAAUUCAACCUUCUAAAUCAUGAGAAAACCAAA